GACGAACGCUGGCGGCGUGCCUAAUACAUGCAAGUCGAACGGAGUGGGGACGGGUGAGGAACACGUGGGUAAGCUCGCCAUCAGAGGGGAUAACACUGGGAAACAGGUGCUAAACCGGUACGAAUGGAUGGACCGGGGGUGCAUGAGCUAGUGGGGGAGGUAACGGCACACCAAGGCCACGAUGCAUAGCUGACCUGAGAGGGUGACCGGCCACACUGGGACGGAGACACGGCCCAGACUCCUACGGGAGGCAGCAGUAGGGAAUCUUCGGCAAUGGACGAAAGUCUGACCGAGCAACGCCGCGUGAGUGAAGAAGGCUUUCGGAUCGUAAAACUCUGUUGUUAGAGAAGCGGUAUCUAACCAGAAAGCCACGGCUAACUACGUGCCAGCAGCCGCGGUAAUAC
rnacentral:rRNA from 1 species